rnacentral:rRNA from 1 species
UACGGAGGGUGCGAGCGUUGUCCGGAAUCAUUGGGCGUAAAGGGCGCGUAGGUGGCCCGGUCAGUUCGUGGUGAAAGCGCGGGGCUCAACCCUGCGUCGGCCAUGAAUACUGCCGCGGCUGGAGCACUGUAGAGGCAGGCGGAAUUCCGGGUGGUAGCGGUGGAAUGCGUAGAGAUCCGGAAGAACACCGGUGGCGAAGGCGGCCUGCUGGGCAGUUGCUGACACUGAGGCGCGACAGCGUGGGGGAGCAAACAGG